CCGCGUAGCGCCCGCCGUCCGGGUUGGAACAAGUUUUGGCGUGGCGUGAUGAUGAUUUCCUCGGAAGCCAGCUCGGUAAGCGC
rnacentral:sRNA from 13 species